AAUAAACCUUGAGUUUCCGUGUCCAACGUUUGACCGUCUGUCUUAUUUAAAAAAAUUAUAAAAAAAAUAAAAAGACAAAUCACGCAUAAAGUACUAAUCAUGUUUUAUCAUCUAACAAUAAUGAAAAUACUAAUUAUAAAAAAAAAUUAUAUAAGAUGCACAAUCAAGCGUUGAAUACGGAAACUUAGUGUUUGUGUUUUU
rfam:Oryza sativa (indica cultivar-group) chromosome 4, whole genome shotgun sequence.